AGGGAUGUAGCUCAGUUUGGUAGAGCGCCUGGUUUGGGACCAGGAGGUCGCAGGUUCAAGUCCUGUCAUCCCUAC
rnacentral:tRNA from 1 species